rnacentral:rRNA from 1 species
CACGUAGGGCGCAAGCGUUGUCCGGAAUUAUUGGGCGUAAAGAGCUCGUAGGCGGUCUGUUGCGUCUGCUGUGAAAACCCGGGGCUUAACCCUUGGCUUGCAGUGGAUACGGACAGACUAGAGGUAGGUAGGGGAGAAUGGAAUUCCCGGUGUAGCGGUGAAAUGCGCAGAUAUCUGGAGGAACACCGGUGGCGAAAGCGCGAGACUGGGCCGUAACUGACGCUGAGGAACGAAAACCAGGGGAGCGAAAGGG